rnacentral:misc_RNA from 1 species
AAGUCGUAACAAGGUUUCCGUAGGUGAACCUGCGGAAGGAUCAUUAAAAAGUCCAUACCUGACUCUUUGUCCGGCUCGCCCGGUUCAAAGUUUUAAACCAAUUUGUGAAAACAAAACCCUUUGCUUCGGUAGCAGGUUCGGGUCCCCCCUUUGGGAGGGGUCAGAGCCGUCAGCCUGCCGGCAGCGCCAAACCAAACCAAUUUUAUAUUCUGUUCUGUCUGAAAAAUCAUUUAAUGAAUGAAAAUUAAAACUUUCAACAACGGAUCUCUUGGUUCUC